rnacentral:misc_RNA from 1 species
UUGUGGAGGAGGACGCCGAAGGUGGGGCUAAUGACUGGGGUGAAGUCGUAACAAGGUAGCCGUACCGGAAGGUGCGGCUGGAUCACCUCCUAACAGGGAGACAACAAAAUGUUUAAAUUAUUAUUUUGUCACCUUAGGUCGAUCGGUAUCUCACAUUCUUAUUUAAUAAGGAUUUUAUUUCCUAAGUUUUUUCUAGGUCACACCCAUUACUUUUCCUGGGCCAUUAGCUCAGGUGGUUAGAGCGCACCCCUGAUAAGGGUGAGGUCCCUGGUUCAAGUCCAGGAUGGCCCAUAUCUCUAUGUUGGGGGUAUAGCUCAGUUGGUAGAGCGCCUGCUUUGCAAGCAGGAUGUCAGCGGUUCGAGUCCGCUUACCUCCACUGAUUACCACCUCUUACAUAACUUUUAUUCAGGAAAUGUUUUGAGUAGUGAUCAAAUUCUGAACGAAUCUAGCUUCCUAAUGAAAUCAUUAAGAUGCUGGACUCAUUGAAUUAAUUUCAUUGUUUUCAGAGAACCUUGACAACUGCAUAGAUUAUUUUUAAAGACAAUAAGCAUCUUUGUGAUGCAGAUUUAUUAUUUGUGCGAAUGCAUUAAUAACAAUUCUAUUAAGCUGAUGCUUCAAUUAUGAAGUUAUUGGUCAAGCUACAA